AUGUUCUUUAUUGUAGAUGGAAUAAUCCACCCUCAAGUGUUUCCAUUGGUCCCUUUUCAUCAAGAACAUAAAAGCGUUAUCACAUUUGGUUGCCUGAAAAAAAACUACUUGCCCAAUCCGGUGUCUGUGGUAUGGAACGCAUCUUCUGGGGGUACACUUUCUGAAGAAAAGAAUAUCCAAUUCCCCCUCUCUGGAGAUCCACUCCGUUACAGCUCGGUCAGCCUGAUCACUGUUAGCAGUUCACAGUGGGACAGCAAUACUUACAUUUGUGAUGUGAGGCAUUUUUCCAGCAGCAUCCAGAAAACUAUACCGAGAGGUUUUGUUACACCUCCACCGUCACCAACUGUCCACAUCCUACAAGGAUCCUGCUUUAGCAGCACAGAUGAGCAAGUCGAGCUUACUUGCCAGGGAUAUAACCUAACCUCUAAGGAUGCCGAGAUAAAAUGGUUCAUCAAUGAGAAGGAGAGACCUCUUCCUCAAGACAUACUUUACCUGGAGAAUUCCUACCUAUAUGCUUUACAUAGCACAGUGAGCAUCUCUAUGGCGGAGUGGAAUAAUGGUGUUCGUGUUAAAUGCCAGGUGACAGAUACAAAAACAAGCAAAUCUAGUGAGGCUACAUCCAGGAAAUGCUCAGAUAUUGCCAACUGUUUGGAAAUCAAAGUGAUAAUGGUACCUCCCACUAUUGAGGAUCUCUAUGUCCAAAAACACGCCCCUAUAGCUUGCACGGCAUACAACCUAAAACAGCCAACCGGUUCUUCUUUUGAAUUUAACUACCCUGGAGCUCCAGACACAUUGGAUAGUCAAACUGAGGACCCUCAUCGGAAUCUAAAUGGCACUUACAGUGUGACCAGUUUCCUCACUGUGACCCCUGAGACCUGGCAAUCGAAUACAGAAUUUACUUGCAUUUACCGUUUCCCAGGGCUUACUAAACCAAUCAUUAGAACAAUCUCCAAGAAGACAGAGACAAAAUUGAUAUUACCAAACAUUGCAAUAUACCCACCACCUCCAGAGGAUAUAACCAAGGAUGAGCUCUGUGUAAUAACAUGCAUUGCCUAUGGCUUUUACCCUCAACAAAUCUACAUGGGCUGGGUAGAUGAGGAUGAUUUGGAGAUGUCCAGGGAUCAACAUGUUAACAGCGAACCAAAACGUAACGAUAGAAAUCAGAGUUUUUCAGCAAGCAGUCUACUGAGCGUUCCCUGCAGUGAAUGGAAAAAAGGCAAACGUUUUGGAUGCUUAGUGGGCCAUGAAGCCAUCCCGAUGAAAUUUAUGAAAAAAGCUAUUGACAUACAUUCUGGUAAUCCAUCAACGGUCCAUGUGUCUGUCGUCAUGUCUGAUACCACCUUGUCUUGUUAUUAA